UACGGAGGGUGCAAGCGUUGUCCGGAUUCAUUGGGUUUAAAGGGUGCGCAGGCGGGACAUUAAGUCAGGGGUGAAAGACGGUCGCUCAACAAUCGCAGUGCCUUUGAUACUGGUGUUCUUGGGUGACCUUGAGGUAGGCGGAAUGGGUGGUGUAGCGGUGAAAUGCAUAGAUACCACCCAGAACUCCGAUUGCGAAGGCAGCCUACUGGAGGUUUACCGACGCUCAGGCACGAAAGCGUGGGGAUCAAACAGG
rnacentral:rRNA from 1 species